rnacentral:lncRNA from 1 species
ACGAGCGCAUAGUGCGUACGUCCCAUCUGCAUGCGAUGUACGCACAACGUGCACGUCCGGUCCACUCGCGCGCACGCAUGCACGCAACGUGAGAAAAGUGCACACGUCCAAUCCACACGAACGGUGCAGGGUCAGGACCUACUCGUGUCUCAUCACGCACAGGCGGGCCAUCCGCAGGUUACCUCAUGCGUCGCACACUAUGUGU